rnacentral:piRNA from 1 species
UCAAGAGGAGUCAUUAUCAUGCUUUGCGUC